rfam:Cicer arietinum chromosome Ca1, whole genome shotgun sequence.
UUUGGGAAAUGAUGUUAAUAAUGCCGACAGAAACAUUAGCUCUGCUGAAUUAUUAUUUGCACGUCAGUCUGAUCCUAAA